GAUGAACGCUGGCGGCGUGCCUAAUACAUGCAAGUCGAGCGAACAGACGAGGAGCUUGCUCCUCUGACGUUAGCGGCGGACGGGUGAGUAACACGUGGAUAACCUACCUAUAAGACUGGGAUAACUUCGGGAAACCGGAGCUAAUACCGGAUAAUAUAUUGAACCGCAUGGUUCAAUAGUGAAAGACGGUUUUGCUGUUACUUAUAGAUGGAUCCGCGCCGCAUUAGCUAGUUGGUAAGGUAACGGCUUACCAAGGCAACGAUGCGUAGCCGACCUGAGAGGGUGAUCGGCCACACUGGAACUGAGACACGGUCCAGACUCCUACGGGAGGCAGCAGUAGGGAAUCUUGCGCAAUGGGCGAAAGCCUGACGGAGCCACGCCGCGUGAGUGAUGAAGGUCUUCGGAUCGUAAAACUCUGUUAUUAGGGAAGAACAAAUGUGUAAGUAACUAUGCACGUCUUGACGGUACCUAAUCAGAAAGCCACGGCUAACUACGUG
rnacentral:rRNA from 1 species